GACAGGCGUAGUCGAUGGACAACGGGUUGAUAUUCCCGUACCGGCGAAACAACGACCCUGCAGAACCAGGUGAUGCUAAGCACGCAAGGAUCGUGGAGGUUUUCGAACCAAGACGGUCUAAGCCUGCGACCCAAGCCUGUAGUACGCAAGCUGCGGAGGGACGCAGAAAGGUAGCCGUACCGGGAGAUGGUUUUCCCGGGGUAAAUGCGUAGGGUGGAGUAUAGGCAAAUCCGUACUCCGUGCGCCUGAAACAUGAUGCAUAGGCCUUAUGGCCGAAUUCGGUAAUCCUAUGCUGCCUAGAAAAGCUUCGUGAGCGAGUUGUCAGCCGCCCGUACCCUAAACCGACACAGGUGGAUAGGUAGAGAAUACCAAGGCGAUCGAGAGAAUCGUGGUGAAGGAACUCGGCAAAAUACCCCCGUAACUUCGGAAUAAGGGGGACCGGAGGGGUGCACAGCCCUGAAGGUCGCAGAGACCACGCCCAAGCGACUGUUUACCAAAAACACAGGUCCGUGCCAAGUUGAAAGACGAUGUAUACGGACUGACUCCUGCCCGGUGCUGGAAGGUUAAGGGGAAGUGUUAGCGCAAGCAAAGCACUGAACUUAAGCCCCAGUAAACGGCGGUGGUAACUAUAACCAUCCUAAGGUAGCGAAAUUCCUUGUCGGGUAAGUUCCGACCUGCACGAAUGGAGUAACGAUUUGGGCGCUGUCUCCACCACGAACCCGGUGAAAUUGCAUUACGAGUAAAGAUGCUCGUUACGCGCAGCAGGACGGAAAGACCCCGGGACCUUUACUAUAGUUUGGUAUUGGUGAUCGGGACGACUUGUGUAGGAUAGGUGGGAGACUUUGAAGCAAUCACGCCAGUGAUCGUGGAGUCAUCGUUGAAAUACCACUCUGGUCGUUCUGGUUAUCUAACCUAGGUCCAUUAUCUGGAUCAGGGACAGUGCCUGAUGGGUAGUUUGACUGGGGCGGUCGCCUCCCAAAAGGUAACGGAGGCGCCCAAAGGUUCCCUCAGCCUGGUUGGCAAUCAGGUGUCGAGUGUAAAUGCACAAGGGAGCUUGACUGUGAGACAGACAUGUCGAGCAGGGACGAAAGUCGGGAUUAGUGAUCUUAUGGUGGCACGUGGAAGCGCCAUAACUCAACGGAUAAAAGGUACCCCGGGGAUAACAGGCUGAUCUUGCCCGAGCGCUCACAGCGACGGCAUGGUUUGGCACCUCGAUGUCGGCUCGUCGCAUCCUGGGGCUGGAGUCGGUCCCAAGGGUUGGGCUGUUCGCCCAUUAAAGCGGCACGCGAGCUGGGUUCAGAACGUCGUGAGACAGUUCGGUCCCUAUCCGCUGCGCGCGUAGGAAUCUUGAGAAGGGCUGUCCUUAGUACGAGAGGACCGGGACGGACCAACCUCUGGUGUGCCAGUUGUUCUGCCAAGAGCACUGCUGGUUGGCUACGUUGGGAAGUGAUAACCGCUGAAAGCAUCUAAGUGGGAAGCACGCUUCAAGAUGAGGGUUCCCUCAGAGUCAAUCUGGUAAGGCCCCCGGUAGACCACCGGGUUGAUAGGUCGGAUGUGGAAGUGCGGCAACGCAUGGAGCUGACCGAUACUAAUAGGCCGAGGGCUUGUUCC
rnacentral:rRNA from 1 species